rnacentral:rRNA from 1 species
AACGAACGCUGGCGGCGUGCUUAACACAUGCAAGUCGAACGUGAUCCGGAGCUUGCUCCGGUGAAAGUGGCGCACGGGUGAGUAACGCGUGGAUAACCUGCCCUGGUAUCUGGGAUAACAUCUCGAAAGGGGUGCUAAUACCGGAUAAGCCCACGGAACCUUAGGGUUCUGAGGGAAAAGGUGGCCUCUGUCUCAAGCUACCGUAUCAGGAUGGGUCCGCGUACCAUUAGCUAGUUGGUAGGGUAAUGGUCUACCAAGGCAACGAUGGUUAGCUGGUCUGAGAGGAUGAUCAGCCACACUGGAACUGAGACACGGUCCAGACUCCUACGGGAGGCAGCAGUGGGGAAUUUUGCGCAAUGGGGGAAACCCUGACGCAGCAACGCCGCGUGAGUGAUGAAGGCCUUAGGGUCGUAAAGCUCUGUCAGAGGGGAAGAAAUGACGAGGUGCUAAUACCAUCUCUUCUUGACGGUACCCUCAAAGGAAGCACCGGCUAACUCCGUGCCAGCAGCCGCGGUAA